UACGGAGGGUGCGAGCGUUGUCCGGAAUCACUGGGCGUAAAGGGCGCGUAGGCGGCUUUUUAAGGGUGCGGUGAAAGCCCGGGGCUUAACCCCGGGUCGGCCGUGCCGACUGAAAAGCUGGAGCACUGUAGAGGCAGGUGGAAUUCCGGGUGUAGCGGUGGAAUGCGUAGAGAUCCGGAAGAACACCAGUGGCGAAGGCGGCCUGCUGGGCAGUUGCUGACGCUGAGGCGCGACAGCGUGGGGAGCGAACAGG
rnacentral:rRNA from 1 species